UACGGGGGGAGCAAGCGUUGUUCGGAUUUACUGGGCGUAAAGGGCGCGUAGGCGGCCACCGCAAGUCGACUGUGAAAUCUCCGGGCUUAACCCGGAAAGGUCAGCCGAUACUGCGGGGCUAGAGUGCAGAAGGGGCAACUGGAAUUCUCGGUGUAGCGGUGAGAUGCGUAGAUAUCGAGAGGAACACCUGCGGCGAAGGCGGGUUGCUGGGCUGACACUGACGCUGAGGCGCGAAAGCUAGGGGAGCGAACGGG
rnacentral:rRNA from 1 species